AGUGAACGCUGGCGGUAGGCCUAACACAUGCAAGUCGAACGGCAGCACAGUAAGAGCUUGCUCUUACGGGUGGCGAGUGGCGGACGGGUGAGGAAUACAUCGGAAUCUACUUUUUCGUGGGGGAUAACGUAGGGAAACUUACGCUAAUACCGCAUACGACCUACGGGUGAAAGCAGGGGAUCUUCGGACCUUGCGCGAUUGAAUGAGCCGAUGUCGGAUUAGCUAGUUGGCGGGGUAAAGGCCCACCAAGGCGACGAUCCGUAGCUGGUCUGAGAGGAUGACAGCAAACAGUGGAAAUGAGACACGGUCCAGACUCAUACGGGAGGCAGCGGUGGGGAAUAUUGGAAAAGGGGCGAAAGCUGGACCCAGCCAUGCCGGGGGGGGAAAGAAGGCUUUCGGUUAUAAAACCCUUUUUGUUGGAAAAAAAAAGCAGCGGGAUAAUCCCCCGUUGUUCUGAGGGUACCAAAAAAAAAAGCACGGGGUAAGUUGGUG
rnacentral:rRNA from 1 species